rnacentral:rRNA from 1 species
AGUGAACGCUGGCGGUAGGCCUAACACAUGCAAGUCGAACGGCAGCACAGUAAGAGCUUGCUCUUACGGGUGGCGAGUGGCGGACGGGUGAGGAAUACAUCGGAAUCUACUUUUCCUGGGGGAAAAACGAGGGAAAAUUUAGCCUAAUACGCAAUACAACUAACGGGUGAAAGCAGGGGUCCUCGGCACUUUGGCGGUUUGAUUGAGCUGAUGUCGGAUUAGCUAGUUGGCGGGGUAAAGGCCCACCAAGGCGACGAUCCGUAGCUGGUCUGAGAGGAUGAUCAGCCACACUGGAACUGAGACACGGUCCAGACUCCUACGGGAGGCAGCAGUGGGGAAUAUUGGACAAUGGGCGCAAGCCUGAUCCAGCCAUACCGCGUGGGUGAAGAAGGCCUUCGGGUUGUAAAGCCCUUUUGUUGGGAAAGAAAAGCAGCAGGUUAAUACCCCGCUGUUCUGACGGUACCCAAAGAAUAAGCACCGGCUAACUUCGUG